rnacentral:rRNA from 1 species
UACGGGGGGAGCAAGCGUUGUUCGGAAUCACUGGGCGUAAAGGGAGUCUAGGCGGUUUGGUAAGUGGGAUGUGAAAUGCCCGGGCUCACCCCGGGACCUGCAUCCCAAACUGCUGAGCUUGAGUACAGGAGAGGGUGGGGGAAUUCCAGGUGUAGCGGUGAAAUGCGUAGAUAUCUGGAGGAACACCGGUGGUGUAGACGGCUUUCUGGACCGUAACUGACGCUGAGACACGAAAGCGUGGGUAGCAAACAGG